AGAAUGAACGUUGGCGGCGUGGAUUAAGUAUGUAAGUCGUUGAGAAGUUUCCUUUGGGGAACGGACAGCGGCGAAAGGGAGAGUAAUAUGUAGAAAUUUGUCCCCUGGUUUGGGAUAGUGUUGGGAAAUUAGUGGUAAUACCGGAUAAUGUCUUUGGACUAAAGGUGUGAUUCCGCCGGGGGAUGAGUCUACGACCUAUUAGUUAGUUGGUGGGGUAAUGGUCCACCAAGGUGAUGAUGGGUAGCGGGUGUGAGAGUAUGACCCGCCUCACUGGGACUGAGAUAUUGUUUAGAUAUUUAUGGAUGGUUGCAGUUGAGAAUUUUUGUUAAUGGAUGAAAGUUUGAAUAAGCGACGCCGCGUGCGGGAUGAAGGCCUUUGGGUUGUAAACCGCUGUCGUAAGGGAGCAAAUCUAUGGGGGUAUUCCCCCAUGGUUGAGUGAUCUUAGGAGGAAGGACGGGUUAAGUUCGUGUUAGUAGUUGUGGUAAGACGAACCGUCCAAACGUUAUUCGGUAUCACUGGGCUUAAAGAGUUCGUAGGCGGCCAUGUAGGUCAGGUGUGAAAUUCCACAGUUUAGCUGUGGAACUGCGCUUGAAACCGCAUGGCUUGAGGAAGAUAGAGGUGAGCGGAACAGAUGGUGGAGUGGUGAAAUGUGUUGAUAUCAUCUGGAAUAUUGGUGGUGAAAGUGGCUCACUGGAUCUUUUCUGACGCUGAGGAACGAAAGCUAGGGUAGUGAAUGGGAUUAGAUAUCCCGGUAGUCCUAGCUGUAAAUGAUGAGCACUAGUCCGUGGGAAUUUUUAUAUUUUCUCGGACGUAGCGAAAGUGUUAAGUGCUCCGCCUGGGGAGUAUGGUUGCAAGGCUGAAACUCAAAGGAAUUGACGGGGGUUUAUAUAAGCGGUGGAGGAUGUGGUUUAAUUUGAGUUUAUGUGAAGAAUUUUAUCCUAGUUUUGAUAUUCUUGAGAAUACCCUUGAAAGGGGGUAGUGUUUUUGGGAGUUUUUGAAUAGGUGCUGUAUGGCUGUCGUUAGCUCGUGUUGUGAGAUGUUGGGUUAAGUUUUUUAACGAGCGAAACCCUUAUCUCUAGUUGCCAGUGUGUAAUGGUGGGGAUUUUAGAGAGACUGCCGGUGUUAAACCGGAGGAAGGUGGGGAUGACGUUAAGUUUUUAUGGCCUUUAUGACUAGGGUUGUAUACGUCCUACAAUGCGGCAUAUAAAGGGAAGCAAACCCGUGAGGGGGAGCAAAUCCCAAAAAGUGUCGCUCAGUUCGGAUUGCAGGCUGUAAUUUGCCUGCAUGAAGUUGGAAUCGUUAGUAAUCGCGGGUUAGUAUACCGCGGUGAAUGUGUUCCUGAGCUUUGUACACACCGCCCGUCAAGCUAUGAAAGUUGGGAGGGCCCGAAGUUGCUAAGCUAACCCGUAAGGGAGGCAGGCGCCGAAGGUCAACUCGACGAUUGGGAUUAA
rnacentral:rRNA from 1 species